CAAAACUAUGAUGUGGAAAUGAUAAGGAAAAGGUUAAAGUAAAAUAUUAACCAGCGCAGUGGUUCUUUGAGGAAGGUACCCUCAUGGACAAUGGAGAAUCCAUUCUUACAGGCAUUAAGUUAGCUUUAUUUUUAUCAAUUCCAAUUGCUUUCCAGAAAAGAUAGUUUUAUUUUUAGUUCAAGAAAACAAGACUUGAUUUAUUUCUCUGUAAAUACGUGCAAAAUCUGCUGUUGGGAAAUAUGUUACACCACGGUUCCAUUCCUGUGAACUGGUCGUAAGCCAAAAAGUUUGCAAAGCAGAGAGAUUACCGAAGGAGACCACUCAGGCAGAUUAUAUCUGUAAGAGUCCAACUGGCAAGAUGCCUGCAGGCUGGGAGCCUUCCACUGGUUACCACAGUGACAUGAUCCAUUGAUUCACAUCAUGGUGAAAGUAUUGAAAAUUCU